AUGCCCUCUUUAUACCAGACAUUGUGCUUUAAGACUCAGCUCUGGCCCUUAAGAAGCUUGAGGAGACAGGACAUGCACAUGCAAAGGCCUGUCCAGCACUCCGACCUUUGGAGGUAUCCAUUGCCCCAGUGUCUGAGUCUUUCUGGAAUUCUGAGACUGAUUGUUUCUCCUGACUGAAUUCAGCUCAGAUGCUUCAAACAAAGGGACGACUUACAGAGAUACAGUCAAG